rnacentral:rRNA from 1 species
UACAGAGGUCCCAAGCGUUGUUCGGAUUCAUUGGGCGUAAAGGGUGCGUAGGCGGCGCGGUAAGUCGGGUGUGAAAUCUCGGGGCUUAACUCCGAAACUGCAUUCGAUACUGCCGUGCUUGAGGACUGGAGAGGAGACUGGAAUUUACGGUGUAGCGGUGAAAUGCGCAGAUAUCAGGAAGAACACCCGUGGCUAAGGCGGCUCUCUAGUACGGUACCGACGCUGAGACGCGAAAGCGUGGGGAGCGAACAGG